rnacentral:rRNA from 1 species
UACGGAGGAUCCGAGCGUUAUCCGGAUUUAUUGGGUUUAAAGGGUGCGCAGGCGGGAGAUUAAGUCGGCUGUGAAAUUUUGCAGCUCAACUGUAAAAGUGCCUUCGAAACUGGUUUCCUUGAGUGUAGAUGAAGUAGGCGGAAUUUGUGGUGUAGCGGUGAAAUGCAUAGAUAUCACGAGGAACUCCGAUUGCGCAGGCAGCUUACUAAACUACUACUGACGCUCAUGCACGAAGGCGUGGGGAUCAAACAGGAUUAGAUA